UACAGAGGUCCCGAGCGUUGUUCGGAUUCACUGGGCGUAAAGGGUGCGUAGGUGGCAUGGAAAGUUUGAUGUGAAAGCUCAGGGCUUAACCGGGGAACUGCACGGGAAACUAGCAGGCUUGAGUUCGGGAGAGGGAAGCGGAAUUUCGGGUGUAGCGGUGAAAUGCGCAGAUAUCCGAAGGAACACCGGUGGCGAAGGCGGCUUCCUGGACCGACACUGACGCUGAGGCGCGAAAGCUAGGGGAGCAAACGGG
rnacentral:rRNA from 1 species